rnacentral:rRNA from 1 species
AUACGGAGGGUGCAAGCGUUAUCCGGAAUCAUUGGGUUUAAAGGGUCCGCAGGCGGACUGAUAAGUCAGUGGUGAAAUCCCGUAGCUUAACUACGGAACUGCCAUUGAAACUGUCAGUCUCGAAUUCGGUCGAAGUGGGCGGAAUGUGUCAUGUAGCGGUGAAAUGCAUAGAUAUGACACAGAACACCGAUAGCGAAGGCAGCUCACUAGGCCUGAAUUGACGCUCAGGGACGAAAGCGUGGGGAGCAAACAGGAUUAGAUACCCUAGUAGUCC